rnacentral:rRNA from 1 species
UACGUAGGGUGCGAGCGUUGCCCGGAAUUACUGGGCGUAAAGAGCUCGUAGGUGGUUUGUCGCGUUGUCCGUGAAAACUCACAACUCAAUUGUGGGCGUGCGGGCGAUACGGGCAGACUGGAGUACUGCAGGGGAGACUGGAAUUCCUGGUGUAGCGGUGGAAUGCGCAGAUAUCAGGAGGAACACCGGUGGCGAAGGCGCCACUCUGGGCCGAAACUGACGCUGAGGAGCGAAAGCAUGGGUAGCAAACAGG